AGCAGCAGCCGCGGUAAUACGAAGGGUGCAUGCGUUAAUCGGAAUUACUGGGCGUAAAGCGUGCGUAGGUGGUGGUUUAAGUCCGUUGUGAAAGCCCUGGGCACAACCUGGGAAUUGCAGUGGAUACUGGAUCACUAGAGUGUGGUAGAGGAUAGUGGAAUUUCCGGUGUAGCAGUGAAAUGCGUAGAGAUCGGAAGGAACAUCUGUGGCGAAGGCGACUAUCUGGGCCAACACUGACACUGAGGCACGAAAGCGUGGGGAGCAAACAGGAUUAGAUACCCCUGUAGUCCCUGUCUCUUAUAC
rnacentral:rRNA from 1 species